rnacentral:rRNA from 1 species
CAGAACCCCUUCGGGGGUGACGCAUGUGGAACGAGCGGCGGACGGGUGAGUAACACGUGGGCAACCUGCCUGUAAGACUGGGAUAACUCCGGGAAACCGGGGCUAAUACCGGAUAAUACGUAUUCUUGCAUAAGGAGACGUUAAAAGGCGGCGCAAGCUGUCACUUACAGAUGGGCCCGCGGCGCAUUAGCUAGUUGGUGGGGUAAAAGCCUACCAAGGCGACGAUGCGUAGCCGACCUGAGAGGGUGAUCGGCCACACUGGGACUGAGACACGGCCCAGACUCCUACGGGAGGCAGCAGUAGGGAAUCUUCCGCAAUGGACGAAAGUCUGACGGAGCAACGCCGCGUGAGUGAAGAAGGUUUUCGGAUCGUAAAACUCUGUUGUUAGGGAAGAACAAGUGCCGUUCAAAUAGGGCGGCACCUUGACGGUACCUAACCAGAAAGCCCCGGCUAACUACGUGCCAGCAGCCGCGGUAAUACGUAGGGGGCAAGCGUUGUCCGGAAUUAUUGGGCGUAAAGCGCGCGCAGGCGGUCUUUUAAGUCUGAUGUGAAAGCCCACGGCUUAACCGUGGAGGGCCAUUGGAAACUGGAGGACUUGAGUACAGAAGAGGAGAGUGGAAUUCCACGUGUAGCGGUGAAAUGCGUAGAGAUGUGGAGGAACACCAGUGGCGAAGGCGACUCUCUGGUCUGUAACUGACGCUGAGGUGCGAAAGCGUGGGUAGCGAACAGGAUUAGAUACCCUGGUAGUCCACGCCGUAAACGAUGAGUGCUAGGUGUUAGGGGGUUUCCGCCCCUUAGUGCUGCAGUUAACGCAUUAAGCACUCCGCCUGGGGAGUACGGCCGC